rnacentral:rRNA from 1 species
UACGGAGGGGGCUAGCGUUGUUCGGAAUUACUGGGCGUAAAGCGCACGUAGGCGGCUUUGUAAGUUAGAGGUGAAAGCCCGGGGCUCAACUCCGGAAUUGCCUUUAAGACUGCAUCGCUAGAAUUGUGGAGAGGUAAGUGGAAUUCCGAGUGUAGAGGUGAAAUUCGUAGAUAUCGGGAGGAACACCGGUGGCGAAGGCGGCGACCUGGGUCGAGACUGACGCUGAGGCGCGAAAGCGUGGGGAGCAAACAGG